GGCCGCAGUAUUCUAACUGUGCAAAGGUAGCAUAAUCAUUAGUCUUUUAAUUGAAGGCUGGUAUGAACGGUUGGACGAAGUAUAAGCUGUUUCAUAUAAAUUUUUAUUAGAAUUUUAUAUUUUAGUCAAAAAGCUAAAAUUUUAUUAAAAGACGAGAAGACCCUAUAAAUCUUUAUAUUUAUUUUUAUUUAAGUUUUUUGGGAUAUAUUUUAUUUUUUUAAAAGUAAUUAUUUUGUUGGGGUGAUGUUAAAAUUUGAUGAACUUUUAAUUUUGAGUUACAUUAAUUUAUGAUUUAUUGAUCCAUUAAUAAUGAUUAUAAAAUUAAGUUACUUUAGGGAUAACAGCG
rnacentral:rRNA from 1 species